rnacentral:piRNA from 1 species
UAAUAUUUUUUAAUGUUUAGAUAGAGCCUC